rnacentral:snRNA from 1 species
AUACUUACCUGGCAGGGGAGACACCAUGAUCAAGAAGGUGGUUCCCUCGGCCAUUGCACUCUGGUUGUGCUGACCCCUGGGGAUUCCCCAAAUGUGGGAAUCUCAACUGCAUAAUUUAUGGUAGUGGGGGGACUGCGUUCGCGCUCUCCCCUG